GUACAAGUGCUGUGACAGAAAAACCGCCGGCUCCGCGCAGCGGCAAAAGAGCCAACGGGAACGCCGGGUGCUGCGACCAUGACCCCGGCACUGGAGGACGUGGGAUGGAGAAUGGGACACACGGAGCGAGAAGGGAAACGUUUCGUGCAGACCAACUAGCGCCGCCGCCACCGGAAAACUGACUCGCCAGUGCUGCCAAUGAAGUGCGUGUGAGAAACCGAUGACUGGUGGGAGGAGCAGCGCUGGGCGCUGGACCCGCGAGUGUGAGAAUCUGGCGGCGCUAGGACCCUUCAGGCGCGGGCACGAGGCGAAACCCAGCGCUGUUGCCAAAGACAAAUGCGCGUUCUUUUGGGCGCCAUCAGCGGUGCAGCCAGUGAUCACUCCCAGGCUCUGAGAAACUAGAGAUGUCAGCCACAAACCCUCCGUUCAGGGAAAGUUUGCGGCGCCGUGACGGAUCGACUGGCACUGGGUGCAACAUUGUCUUGUGGCCUAGAGACUAGAAUAUAAAAACAAAAACCAAAUACAAAACUGCUGCUGGCAUUACUCCUACUCUCCCCCCUCAAGUCAGUGGCUUCAGGCUUAAGAAAACCUGUAUUUUUCUUGGCUGUGCCAUAAUCCGUAAUUACCGAGGCCCCCAGCGACCCACCCAGUGUGAUUCGCAGAGGGAAAGGAGCUGGAAUAAGGACCGUGAAUGGGGCGGAUGUGGCUCGUCCUGGGAGAGAGCUAAAGCUUAUGCUGGUCGCAAACAGCAUUACAUUGCAGGAAACUGCUCUUCCAAUGGCCGUGGCUGGGUCCUUCCACACCAUCCCUCUGCCCUAGACCUUUGUCCCCGUUCAGAGCCAUCAGAGAUUCUAGGAGAGCUGUCGACAACCGCAUCUCUUCGGAACUUGGAAACUCUAGGUUCAAGAUCUCCGUGGAGAAUGAAAGGCACAGUCGCCUGACCCGGGCAUCAGGCUUGCCCCGCACAUCAAGUCCCUCCCCUACUGGAUGGAACUCUGUGGCAAUCGCUCCUUAUUCUGAUGGUUCACUCUGUCAGAUAUCCUCGAUAUUUGGGGAUAGUAGUUCAAAAACAGCCGGGGAGGAAAAUGGGCUGAAAGAUUCCAGCGUUGGAUGUAGAAUUGACAGCGAGACAUACACCUCCUCUCUAAGCCCAGAGAAAAGCUCAAGUUGUGGUUCUCUGUCUCUAGCAGCAUGAUCUUCAAAAUGCAUCAUUGAUUUCUAUCUUCUGGGAAAUGCAAUGCAGGUGAACUUGAGGAAAUCAGUGGUGCUUCAGGAUAUUGUGAAUUUGGUCUUCUGAAAGCAGAAUUCUGAUUUAACAGUAUAAUGGAAUUCGUGAACGUCAUGAUGCUAAUUUGAACCAACAAGCACCCUUGUGAGAGGAAUCUGCUUUUCCUCAAGUCUGAAGAACACCAGGAGAAUCUUUCUGUAUGGAGUUACCAGGAAUCCUCUGCUAAGGAAAGUGAAAGGGAAGAUGCAAUUUCUCCUGGGAAGGGGGGAUGCUGAUGUAGAGGGUGACAAGUAAUAUGCCAUGAAGGAUUCAGUCACCUGGUUAGAUUUAGAGUUAGAGUUAUGGUUAAGGAAGAAGGAAGGAAAAAAGGCAGAAGAGGAAGAAAGGAAGCAAGAAAAGAUAAAAUUUAUUCUAAGAUAAAAUUUGUGAAUUUUGCUAAACUA
rnacentral:lncRNA from 1 species